rnacentral:rRNA from 1 species
AAGGGUUUAUGACCAGACUUUGGCCUUGCGGAUCAUCCGGUGUUCUCACCGGUGCACUUCGCUUGGUUGAGGCCAGCAUCGGUUUCUGUAGGGGGAUAAAAUCGUUGGGAAUGUAGCUCCUCCGGGAGUGUUAUAGCCCUUCGUAAUACCCUUCCGGGGACCGAGGACCGCGCUUCGGCUAGGAUGCUGGCAUAAUGGUCAUCA